AGUCGGGGGACACUGGUAGAUGUGAUGUUUGACAGAUGGCUGCCACAUCUCUUCAAAGAGUGGUGGCUGAAACCAGGGAGUCUCCAGGAAGGCUGGCUGUGUGACAGAACAGCUGAUAUCCAAACAAGGCUGUACUUCCCAGCUUCUUUUGUGGCUGAGCGUGUUCACGACAGAGUUGUGGCCAAGGCCAAUGGGACACACAUGGAGUUUUGUAUGAGAUCUUCGGGCUGCAGAAUUACUCAUCAGCGCUGGAAGCCUGCCCCCGCCAUGCUG